rnacentral:rRNA from 1 species
GGCUCAGGAUGAACGCUAGCUACAGGCUUAACACAUGCAAGUCGAGGGGCAGCACGGUGUAGCAAGUACACGGGUGGCGACCGGCGCACGGGUGCGUAACGCGUAUCCAACUUUCCCGUUACUCUCGGAUAGCCUUCCGAAAAGGGAGAUUAAUACGAGAUGGUGUUCAGUUUCCGCAUGUUUACUGAACUAAAGAUUCAUCGGUAACGGAUAGGGAUGCGUGACAUUAGCUAGAUGGCGGGGUAACGGCCCACCAUGGCGACGAUGUCUAGGGGUUCUGAGAGGAAGGUCCCCCACACUGGAACUGAGACACGGUCCAGACUCCUACGGGAGGCAGCAGUGAGGAAUAUUGGUCAAUGGUCUGACGACUGAACCAGCCAUGCCGCGUGAAGGUGACGGCCCUAUGGGUCUUAAACUUCUUUUGUAAGGGAGCAAUAAGGAUCACGCGUGGUCUGAUGAGAGUACCUUACGAAUAAGCAUCGGCUAACUCCGUG